AUGCACAUUGCUACCCCGGGCAUACCUGAUAAAAAUGAAGGAUCAGCCCCAUGCGUGUGCUACAUUUAACUGCUGUCCAGUGUUGCAAGUAUGGUGAUUUCCUGCACCUUAUUUGUGUCAAAGUUGGCAGCUACAUUA